GUGCUUUCCUUAUAGUAGGAGGUCAGUGAGAUCAAGGGGAUUCCAGAAUGAAUAAAUAAAAUCUGCAUUUCUUAGGAAUCUGACGGACAAGAGAAUCCAGAAUCUGUGCAUUGGGCAGAGGAGAGGACCAAAUACUUCAUGUCUGGUUUCCCCACAGGCCACACCAAUGGGGCAAAGCCCUUCUGUAUGUAUUUCUAUUUUCACAUGUAUCUGCACAACCAUAUGUUUAGAAAUCAGAGGGUUGCUGUUUGUAAAACUCUUGAAAAACCUUCUUUUAAAGUGUAAAAAUUAUUUUAUAAAUGCCGACUCAAUCUACUUUAUCUCAGUGAGCUGCUAUUAAGUGCAAAGAAGUUAACACAAUACAGGGGCUUAAAGAGUUUUGACCACAAAGGCUAAACAGGGUCCAUUUUCCCAUGUGAAGAAAAAUGUUUCUGUUUCAAUUGUGAUGUUUGGAAUUUCAGCUUAAAGUAAAAAAAAAGGCACUGUUUCUAGAGUGCCUUUCCGAAAGGCACUGUAGAAGUGGCUGAUGGUCCUUGUGGAAUCAGCUGGCCAAGUGUUUCCUCCCUCCUACCCAGAAAUGUCAUUUGAGUAUAUUGACCCAACCCUGACAGAAAGUCUAUGUAAGCCCGAGGAGGAGGAACAUGCCACAAACCUGCGGCAGAGCAUUAACAAGAACAGAAUUAAAAUGGAUCACUUCUGGGACUCAUCACACAACUUGGAAACAGUGUUCAAUAAAAGGAAAGAUAAUUUGGGGCCACACUACCUGGAAUGAACAUCUGACAUGCAGUCACUGGUCUGGAUUUAGAAAACGGCUUUGAUCCCCGGAGGGUGGAUUCUUAAUGAGUAUUUUAAAGGACAAGAUUGAGGAAGCAUGAUAGAGUUGAAAAGGGUACUAGUUUUGAAGGGUCCCAGCCUUGCUUCCACUUCUGUAAGCAGGUGGAACUGACUUUCAACAACACACCUUACACCGCCCUGAGAAAAUAUCCUCAUCUCUAACAUGGGAGGUGAAGUUAACCCUCUGGUCCAUCCAGCACUCAAAUCUAGGCCUUCGUGACUAUGAAAACAUGGAAAAAAUUUUAAAACGAGAGCAAGUAAUGCCUUUUUGCUACCUGACAGGAAGGCCAGGCAACCUUAUUAUAAAAGGGAACUUUUCUUGCUCGUAUGUUACCAAUCAAUGCAUAAUUGACAUAGCAAUGCGUACACUUUAUGUAGUUCAAGAGAUCAUUAUUGACUGCCUGGAUCUGAUAUGCUCAUCCUUGUCACAUCCUUCUCACUAAAUACUAAUUACCCAAAGUGAUCAAACCCCAAAUGUAAAAACAAUCAUCUUAUAAAUCACAGACAACAAGGAGCUGAAAAAAAGAACUUAGUCAAACGUUUUUGAGUUCAUACAAAAAUUGAACAGCAUAAUCCACCUCCAGGUUCCCAUCCCCCAGCUAAAACAAUAUUUCACCACUCUGCCUUUAUUUAUUCCCAGUCCUCCCCAAUGUAGUUAUUUUCUGGAGCAUUUUAAAAUAAAUCUCAGAUAUCUUGUCAUUUCAUCCCUAACUACUUCGGUCUUCAUCUCAACUGAUAAGGAUUUUUUAAAAAACUACUACCACGACAGUAUUACACCUGACAGCAUUAAAAAGUUAUUUACUAUCAUGUAAAAAACCAAUCCUUAUUCAAAUUUCAUCAAUCAUCUAAAAUGGUUUUUUUUUUCUUUCAGUUUUUGGCUUGAAUAGGCAUCUAAACAAGCUAAGAGGUGAAACUGGGAUUUCACCCAAUUCACAAUCCUUUGUCUUUUAAAUAUUUCUUUUUGAUGCUAACAUUACUUAGACACAAUGUAUUUGGAACACAGAUAAUGUGAAGGUCAGCUUCAUUGCUGUAUUAUUUGAAAUGCCUUAUUCUGGGAAUCAGAUACAAAUGUAGUUAAAGGCUCAGAACUGGAAAAAUCUCCAGUAAUUCUCACAGUUUUCUCAAAUGCAUAAAUGAUUCAGGCAACCUUAAUGGAAUGCUUUAAAGGUAUUUUGCUAAAUCUUACACCGUUCCUAGGUGUAAGAAUACUUCUGACACACUCUAGCAGCUUUUAUUUUGCCCAUAUAAAAGCUGGAUCUCUUAGACUGUGGAGCAGCCUAAUAGCAUAGGUAGCAUUUUCAGCUGUAGCUUCACCUGCACCUUAAAAAGAAAUCUACCUGAAUAUGGCGGCAACAAGGCAGGCCAUCUUUGAAAACAGAGCUAAGAGCCUCAAACUGUCAACUCUGACUUUUGGGGAAAAGGGAGGUGAACAGUUUCUCCAUUCAGCCUCCGUGAGGCCUCUCUGGAAACACACAGGCACUGCUGUGACUCAUAGCUACAAAUACUGUUUUAUAACACCAGUCUGUGUUUUGUAACACACACUGAAAGAAAAAAAAAAAAAAACUAUUUAGAAACCAAAACCAAGCCCUGCAUCUGGGCAUUGGUAUCAAGAUCUCAAGAUGUCAGAGUGGCUAUUUAAUCCAGAUAAAGUAGGCAAGGCCUUAUCCCUUUCCUUGGCAAGAAAUUAGAGUCUUCCUGCCUGCUGCACAUGCCCACAGGAGGAGCAACCAUGAAUUUAAUUUUCUUAAAACAGAAGCAUUUUCAGACUUGUGUUUUCCUGGACAGCUGCCUAGUGGCUGUAAUCCAUAAUAAGGGCGUGUAAUUGACAGUAAUGUGAAUCACUCACUGAAAUUCUGGCAAAAAAAAAAAAAAAGAGGGAGGGUUAUUUUUUUUUUUUUUCAGGAAAAAAUGAAAGAGCAGAUUCAUCCUGUCCAUUGAAAAUAGCAAUUACUUUACAUUUUAGCUCAUUAGCUACCUUUAUAUAUUAAAAAAAAAUCACUGUAAUUUGCACAAACUAUCAGCAAGUGUUGUAAAGAAGCGGUGCAGUUGCACAAGGCAUGUGAUCGGAUGGGCUGGGCCAGGGCAAUCUGUAAAAUGGCAAAUUUAGAUGGGCUACUCAAUAUAGCAUACAUGGGAUUCCUGGCCCAAGAGUGAGUUACAGGACACUGUUCUACCAGUCAUUUUGCCACUUGAAAAGCUGCUAUCUGCCUGGGACCUUGUAAUUAUUAUGGUAAUACCCAGGGCAGAUUGAUCAAGCUGCCAUUGAUGUCUAUGGGCAGCUUCAGAAUUCCUUUCACUCAGACACAGGGAUCUCCAAAAGAAUGGCUUGGGAUUUUCCCAGGUAGAAGCUGUUGGAACCAUGGAAGCUUUGAGACCAGAUCCCAAUAAAGAGAGAAGCUGAUAUAAGUGUAAAUCCAGUCCUAAAUUCAGACAGGAUCUGGAUGAAGGCCUACUCAAGGAACUUCAGCGUGGCUCUUCUCACAUCUGUCCUAAUGAAGCACCCUGCCAGCAAAUGAAAUUAUAACUGCCGUGAGUCACACUGUGAGUCACACAGGUUGCCACGGCAACCUGCUAACUAUAUCACCAAAGCACCUUCCAUUAGCUUUGCCAAGAAUGGUUCCUGAGUUUUCCUGGACUGUGAAAACAAUGCGGGUGAGCCCCAAGUUUGGGGUUGCUAAGAGUCUACAAUAAAAAAGUGUGGUCUUACGGAAAGGAAAAAAAAAUCAGAAAAUAAGGUUAUUCUAGUUUUUAGAUCUCCUGAGUAAAUGGCAACAAUUGUGACAAAUCGUUGGGUUCAUUUUGUGAUAUCAACAGAUGUCUAAGGAGAGGAGGUUGAGGCCUCAAAACUAAUUUUCUCUAAGUCAAAUUCAAAGCCAAGUCUCUUGGGUAAAAAGUGAAUACAUUAACCUAUUCCAUUUUAAAUGAUUGCAAUAAACACUUUUUUAAAAUGGAUGCAAAAGAUUAAUUCUCAAACAAAUACUCUGAUUUGUGCUAAAAUAUUUUACUUUGUAGAACUAAGUCUUUUUAUAAAUAAUACAGCGCUUUAAUUUUAUACUGUAGGCAUUAGCCUGCUGCAAUCAAACAUUUGAAAAUGUACUAGAUUACCUUUUAACGGCUAUUCAUGUUAAAUAAAAAUAUUUCAGAAGGUUCAGAAGCAUGUCUUGUUUGGAUUUUUAUUGGGGAAAAUUAACAACUCAAGUUGGGAGUAAACUGACAUAUUUUCCUGACUGCUUCCACUGAGUAACCUGCGCUUUCCAGAAGCGUGUAUCUGUCCCUCAGUGUGGUGGAAAGCAGGCAGGGUAGGCUAGGACAGAAGGAACAAGCACUGUGAACAAGGAUGAGAACAGAAGGAUGCAGAAAUGGUCUGAUGCCUCCGGAAAUGGUUCGGGGCCCUACCAUAUAUCUUUUCGGUCUGUGUUGUGGUGGCUAUCUGAUAUAUGUCCUCUAAGGUUCAGACUACAUGAUGUCAAACUUCCCAGUAGCUGGAAAGAGCUCGAAUGAUUUGUUACAUCUUUUCACCUCCAUAGUUAUCCUCUUGUAACACUGUAGUGAAUGCAGAACUGUCCAAGAAGAAUUAGAUUAAGAAUUCAGGAGUGAAUGACUAGUUGCCCUUGGCAAAUCAUAAAAACCAAGACAGCAGCUGAUUCCAAGAAAAUGAUACUUCUCUGCAUGGUGACUAUUUCAGCAGGAAAGAGACCAGAACAAACUUGUGAAACACCAAAGCAAAGCAAUCUUGAAGGGGUCCAACCAAAUACAUGAGCUACGUAAUCACCAUGAAAAUUAAAUUGAAAUUCCACACCACAGUGUAAAAUUGAUCGAAGAGUAAAAACUCUCUUUUAUGUUUGCACACCAACAACCAACAGCCAGCCACAUUUCCUAUCAACAAUUGAAGACCACAAACAUAAGAAUUCCUUGAACAAUGUGGGUAUGGGAACCACUAGAUGUCCCAAAGCUUUAUCUUCUCCCACUGGCCAACUAAAGAAAAAACAAACACUUAAGGUACCCUUCUCAGGAACUCAGGGGAAACUGAGUUCUCCAGCUCUCCAAAGACUAUGUUCAUGGACU